UGAGGAAUAUUGGUCAAUGGACGAGAGUCUGAACCAGCCAAGUCGCGUGAAGGAAGAAUGUCCUAUGGAUUGUAAACUUCUUUUGCAGGGGAAUAAAGAGAUCCACGAGUGGGUUAUUGCAAGUACUCUGCGAAUAAGGAUCGGCUAACUCCGUGCCAGCAGCCGCGGUAAUACGGAGGAUCCGAGCGUUAUCCGGAUUUAUUGGGUUUAAAGGGUGUGUAGGUGGAUAGAUAAGUCAGCGGUGAAAUUUUUGAGCUUAACUGAAGAAUUGCCGUUGAAACUGUUUAUCUUGAGUGCAAAUGAGGUAUGCGGAAUGUGUUGUGUAGCGGUGAAAUGCAUAGAUAUAACACAGAACACCGAUUGCGAAGGCAGCGUACUGGGAUGCAACUGACACUGAGGCACGAAGGCGUGGGGAUCAAACA
rnacentral:rRNA from 1 species